CAGAAGUGUUGUAUGGUGCUUUGGUCAAAUAUUGUUUACAGGCCUUUUUUUCCUCUGCUUUGGAAUUUGGCAGAGUUAAGAAAUUAAUGGCUCCACAGGGCCUAUGCCAUCUCCUGAUGAAACAGAAGACUGAAGGGGCGCUUGAUGCACACAGCCAUAGCACAGGGGAGCAGUCAAGCAAGCUUCAUCUAGAUGGGGCCAGGCCUUCACAAAGUGACAUACAGAGAGAAAUAAAAAAGCAACAGAACCUCAACCAGAGUGGGAA